rnacentral:lncRNA from 1 species
CAAGACUGGUUGCCUGGUUGGAGUGUUCUUGCAUCUCUUUCACAGAUGGGACAACUCCUCGGCCUUAUACAGGGGGUUCUUCUCACAGAGGCGGAUGGAUACGUGCAGGCGGAUGGAUACCUCCAGUGCUCAGAGAUAGACACUCGCGCUAUAGCAAGGUGGAAUUCUGAGGGACUCACGCAAGAGGUCACAGCGGAAGUGACAGCGUGGAAACUUAGAAGUGAACAGAACAUCCAGUUUGUUCUCAUAACAACACAAUGUUAGUUUGUACCACGUGUGCUACACAGUACCUAGAAGUCUUCUGGUAACUGCCAAAGCAGUAAAGAAAAUUCCUGAUCCUAUGCCUGAGAGAACUGGAUUUUAAUUCUUCUAUUGUAAAAGAUUUGCUGCCCUAAUGUAGAUUUAUUAAUGCACUACAAAGAUGGGAAGGUUUUUGUUUUUAAUAUAUAGUGUGAGAAUUCAGAGUUCCCAAUACUUUGACUCACACUUUCUCUUUCAUUUUCCGAAGAAUCCAGUUCAACCCCAGUAAUCAUUUAAACAUCGUCCUCUGUUGCUUUCUGGUCAAUCAUCUUCUAUUGCCUCCGUCUCUUGCAGUCAGGGCUCUUUGUAGCUGACAUCUUUUGAAAGUAAUAAUUUCUUACCAGAAGUUCUU